rnacentral:lncRNA from 1 species
AGCCUCCUCCAAGGCGGCGGACCAGGCCGGGCCGGAGUUUUCGGGGUUCAGCCCGCGAGCGGGAGGACCGGGGAGGCGAGGGAGGAGGAAGGCGAGAAGGGCCAGAUCGCGGGAGAGCCCAAUCACGGGGCGAGCUGGACCUGGCUGUGAUCAUUUAUAAUCCUUGACUCCUCCGCUCCGCCACUUGUCAAGAUGACAGGGUGGGCAUUUCAGGUCAGCUGAGUCACCCGAGGAGGUGGCAGUGCAAGACACUGCCGGGAAGACGGAUUCCGAGGCAGAAGGGUGUAAUUAAGGAUUUCCACCCCCGGUAGGCGGCCCGUCCUUUGCAGAGCCUCUGAAAAUGACCCGCGCCUUCCUUUCCACAGUGUUCUUUCGUCCGAGACCGAAAAGCGCAAAUGACCUUUGGACAGGGAAGGGAGGCAGUAAACACUCAGACUUCCUUACCAGCCCCUGGUGGGCACUGCAGCAGAACAAUUGUCUGCCCCCCAGGUUCAAGCACCUAGGCCUCCGCCCCGCAUCACCUGGCCAGGGGCGGACCCGGGAGUCCUCCGAAGGCUCCACUCCCCACUUUUACUACUCUUCUUUCCUCUCCAUUCUCCCCUCAGAUUAGCGGCCGGACACUGUCCCUGCCUCGAUUUUGUUUGCUGUGGGAGGGAAAAAAAAAGUUUGCUGCUCCUCCCAAGACACUGGCCACUUUCUACUCACUGAAGUUCCCACCGCAGCGCUGGCUCCCGGCUCCCUAGCUCCCGCCCCCUGUCUGCAGGAAAGCCCUCCCCCGGAGCUUCCGAAACUGCUGGAGGUUCCAGAGUUUUGUAGCUCCGAAUGGGCGACCUGAGCCGAACCGCUCUCUGGCUGGGUGGUCGGCGGGAUCCUUCAGGCUCCUUUCGGGUCCGGGACGGGGCGGCGGCAGAGGUGGGGCGUGCGUGCUUGGGGCUGCCGAGUGAGUGCGGCUCCCUGGUGCGCGCCCGAGCAUCUCCCCGCCCUCUCCUGGGACCAGCAGUCUGCCCGUGGAGGGCUAGGAGCCCGCGACCAGGCCUGCCCCGGCCGUCGCCAACCUGUCCUUGGAAGCGUGGCGGAGACUGGUGCGCUCUCAGCCUCGUCGCGCCAGCCGCCUCGCGCCACCCUCCACUUUCAGCUUCAGAGCAGAGGAUUCCGCCGACCUCCACCUGUACCUGUACUCGGCCGUUAGGAAAUCCACUUGCAUUUUUAACUACCGUGCAGAACCAGAAACAGAUCGAGCACUGGGAGAACAAGGACGACGCCUCCUAGGAAAGCCUGAACCUUUAUGUUAGUUUAUCCAAAGUUUGGGCUAGAAGUGAGGAGAAUCCCUAAACUCGAGGUGGUGUGCCCAGACCCACAGCCCGUGUUCCCGAAGUUGCUAAGUGCCCGAGCGCAGCGCGUUAAGUAGAGAAGUCUUGGUAGUAAGCGAACCCGACCCGGCUCUCGGGGCGCUAGUGACGGAAAGCAGCACGCAUAUCUUUGCGGGAAGAAUCUAGAGUCGCCCUGGGAUAGAUCCAUCUCCUUCUGCCACUGAAUUUCACACUUGAAAAAGAUAAGGUCAUGGGGGCGGAUGAAUGAUAUCCCUCACUCAUUUAGCCAUUCUUAUUAUUAUAUAAAAAAAAGGCUUGUCAAUUAUGAAGGUGUGUCCCAGAUAUUACAUGAAGAUCAUGCAAACUACUUGAAAUUUGAAUCCGGACAUGAUCGUAAGGAAACUCUUUCAUAAAGCACUUUUGUGGCCUAGUUCCCACACACACACAAAAGUAUUAGGUCUUUAAAACUUUUCCAAGUAGUAAGUGAGACUCCCUCUUACUGUCUACGAAUACACAAUAAAGAGAUGAGACACUGCCCCAAUCCUAAAGAGGCCAGAACUGAAGUGCUACAUUGUGUGAGUUAGGGGAUGCUUCUUUUUUCCAGCUCUUUUUUCUAGAAUCCUCAUUACAGCUAACGCUGGUAAUAAAGGUAGGAAAACAAUAGAACUCAUAAAACUUAGAAAUGGUAAUAAAUCUUGGCUCCUGUCUCUAGCCCAGUUCCUUCUUACAUGAGAUUCAAAGUUUUUCAGUAUGCAAUGCUGAACGUUCACACUAUGGUUGCAAAAUAGAAAAAAAUACUCUAGAACUCAUUAAUACGGCCCUGCGCACUCUAUGCCAGGCGUCGCUGGUGGACAAAGCGCGCAGGGGUCCUCCUCUACGUCUGCCUGCGCCUGUAAUCCAGGCAGCUUACGUGUGUUAAAUUUGGGUCUCUCUCUGUCUCUCACACAAAGAAGUUCCAUCAUUUGAGGCCGUUAGGAAAAGCUGAUGUUGUGCAGUGCCAAACUACCACACGCUUCCUCCUUCGGAUGAAUCCCUGGAAAGCAGAGAGGCAGCUCGCUACGUGACCAUCAUGCUUUUUACCUCACUGAGCUGUUGUCAAGAGAGGGCGGGGAUGGCGGGCAGCUCACGUCGUGCCCUCCGCAGCAAUAAAAACUGGAGCGGGAGAAGAAAUGCAAGACAUCGCUGUCUGUUUUGCAAGCCUCUGGCCGCUCUCAGCAAACUCUGCCCGGCGCGGCUGGUGACUUUGCGGUGUGAACGCAGCCGGUCGUGCUCGGGAUAAUGGGACCGAGCUGGCGGCAUCGCCCUCCCGUGGGCCCCUCUUGCCACACAGAUGCGCAGCUCUCCAAAAGGAAAAUGUGGCCCAGCAACCCUCGCCUAGCCCUAGUCCUAGGAAUGCAUGCCUGGGGCCUUUGGAAGCCUCUCAAAGGGCUGGGGGGCGGGGGGGAGGGAUAUAAUGGGCCGAACCUCUGGAUUCAUUUUGGGGAAGAGGAGACAGGUUCUUGCCCCACUACUGAGGCAAGGCCAACAGCACCCUGCCCUGCUGCUCCACCGCCUCCCCGCGGGUCAAGUCUCAGCCGAGUGUCGCUGCCCACCUGAAGGUGACACCUGUCCAUUUUAGUCAGCAUCACAUGCGCCUUCCCUUUCUCCCCUUUGGGGUCUGUCCGUUUUCUCCUCCUGUCCUAAAGAGCCAGCUUGGAACUGAAGGGGCCGGGUAGCAGCUGUUUGUGCCUCUUGCCCGUGCAGACUCGAGGGUCUCCGCAGCCACUUCCUCCUUUAACACGCGAGGCUUUCAGGCGUGCAGAAGGGGACCGCCGGGUCAGGCAGGUAUUAGGCUCUCCAAGGACACUUGUGGACAUCACUGGAGUUUACCUAUUGUUUGGACUUUAUUACAUCUGCUUUAGCAAACGGAGGCAUGAGCGGCCUGUCUGCUGGGUUCAAACCCAGUUGCUGCCCCGGCUGCAACCUCUCCCACUCAAGAGACCCUAGGAACGAUGAGGAACGGGGUAGAAAUGACCAGGGGAGCCAAAUCUCAGGUACCGAGACCUUCCAGCUCACCCCUCAGGCUCAGGAAAGCCAAUAACCCACAUAUGCCCAAAAGGAGCUUAUGUCUCAACUGAGAACAGCAAAUAGGUGAUGGGCCACUUUAGAACAGAGGCUAAAGGCUGGUAGCCACUGAGCAAAACCCAAAUUCUAGGCACCUGAGGUGUUUCCCUUACACAAGUGCCUUCACAGGUAGCAAGCAAUUAAUCUGCAACAGUGAACAACACUAAAACUUAAAUUUUACAUGGAAGUCUCUCAAGUAGACAAAGUUAUUAUUGGGUGGGGUUUUCCCCCCACUGGCAAAAAAAUAACUUAUCCCUUGGCUGUUAGAUUGAGGGAACUAUAAAACAAAUAUUUUAAUUCGAUCACUGACAAAGUCAUAAAAUUCAAUGACUGUUUGUAGAGGAAAACAUGCUUUCAUUAUCUUAAUUAAAGCAAGAUAAGCCUCUCUCAAUGUGCAUGCAUUUUGGAGCCACUGAAUGGACUGGUGAUGAGACGAAGCAACCUUUAAUUGGGACCAUGCUUCUCCAGUACAUUCGUUUGUAUUCCAUGGUGUAAACCGGGCCUUACGCGUGGCUCCGACCUUCGGUGGAAAUGCAUUUGCGUAGCACCACCCAGGGGCUCCCUUGCUUUGGCUAGAGCCUCAUAAAAGACCCCAGGUUUUGCGAAGGAUUUUGAACACCAGCGUCUUUUAACAUGUGGAACUUUCGGUUUUGGUUUAGCUCUGUGAACGUAUUUAAAACUUGCUACAUUAUUCCACAGUGAAAGUUGGAACCUUUUUAAGAGUUAUCAUAGAGUGCCUUUUAACAUCUGUCAUAUUUUCUAUAAACAACUUUUCAGUGAGAAGCGUAUAUAGUGUACUCGAGGUAGGCAUUAGCUGCUGGCAAGGUUUAUGAUACAAUAGUGACACUACAGGACAAUUUUUUAGUCAAACAACACCCGUUAGAUAUUUCAGGGUCCAGCUUAUAUGUUAACUUGUAAAUAUAGGUUAAAAAUAUAGGUAUCAAGUGACUAAAUUCAGUAUCAGACAAAUUGAACAUCUUUUUAUUUCCCAGAAGUGCCCUACUCUUUCUCCUCCCUUUGGUGACCUCUUAGUCUGGAAUGCUCUGCAUCCGGGGCCCCUGGAACACAUAGUUUUUAAAGUACCUAUUAGUGAUACUCUCCUCCCGUUGGCAGUGCUUCCACUGUGUUUUCUGCAUGUAAUAAAGGAUGGCACUGUUUUUUGCAUAGGUCUUUCCUAAUAGCUGAGCACUCUUGGAGUGUAGGGGCUCAACCUUAUGCCUCUUUGGACACACAAGCCUAGCCCAUGGGCUGGCAUAUAGGAGCUGCUCAAUAAAUGUUUGUUGAACGAAUGAGUGGAUACACGAAUAAAAUAUUUUCAUUGUCUUUAGCCCCUCUGACUUUCUUUUUUAAACAGGGGUAUGUCAUAAAUAAAAUUUACCUUGAAAAUGCAUUUAAGUACACUGUUCUACUUCUCUGACCAUGAAGUUUUUAAUGGGACAUCGUUUUAAAAUUCUGGUCAUUACAACGAACCACUUUUGACCUUGGUUGACUUUUCUCAGAAUCAUAAUGCGAAGUAAAGACAAAAACAAUGAGAAAAGGCAAAGAGAUCAAAUUUUGGUUUUCUCU